UCAGGAUGAACGCUAGCGACAGGCUUAACACAUGCAAGUCGAGGGGCAGCACGGGAGUAGCAAUACAACUGGUGGCGACCGGCGCACGGGUGAGUAACGCGUAUGCAACCUACCUAUCAGAGGGGAAUAACCCGGCGAAAGUCGGACUAAUACCGCAUAAAACAGGGGCACCGCAUGGUGAUAUUUGUUAAAGAAAUUCGCUGAUAGAUGGGCAUGCGUUCCAUUAGGUAGUUGGUGAGGUAACGGCUCACCAAGCCGACGAUGGAUAGGGAACUGAGAGGUUGGUCCCCCACACUGGUACUGAGACACGGACCAGACUCCUACGGGAGGCAGCAGUGAGGAAUAUUGGUCAAUGGGCGGGAGCCUGAACCAACCAAGUCGCGUGAAAAGGAAGAAGGAUCUAUGGUUCGUAAACUUCUUUUGCAGGGGAAUAAAGUGCAGGACGUGUCCUGUUUUGUAUGUACCCUGAGAAUAAGGAUCGGCUAACUCCGUGCCAGCAGCUGC
rnacentral:rRNA from 1 species